rnacentral:rRNA from 1 species
UACGGGAGGCAGCAGUGGGGAAUAUUGGACAAUGGGCGCAAGCCUGAUCCAGCCAUGCCGCGUGAGUGAAGAAGGCCUUAGGGUUGUAAAGCUCUUUCACGGGCGACGAUGAUGACGGUAGCCCGAGAAGAAGCCCCGGCUAACUCCGUGCCAGCAGCCGCGGUAAU